CCUGUACUGUGCCGAAAUGUUUGAUGUUCUAUUACUUGAACUGCUAUUUGCCUUAUUCCCUUACAAGACUAGAGAGGAGGAGGCAAACCACAAUUGCACUGGAAGUGAACUCAUGGGACAGAAGUGAACUUGGGUUCUUUUGAAGACCCUGAUCUGGAGUUACACGCUGACUUCAGUUCUUUGCGGAAAUGGGACUGGCUCUUGGGGUCUCACGUCUUGAUAUGCCACGGACACGGCCUAGAAGACUAGCGCACCUUCAGGGUGUCGGAUUCUCGUGGCUCUGGAGAAACUUGGUUGUCCCAGAGAUUCCUGGUGCCAUUGGAUUCUGAAGUAUAUUCUGGGAAACAAGAGAAGUUUGACGAAUGAAAGAUAUGCCUUUGCUGCAUGUAAAAGCCUGUUGUAUUGAAGAAAAUGUCAGAACAGCUGAAGGUCAUAGUCAUUGAGUUAUAGAGCGUGGAA